rnacentral:rRNA from 1 species
UACGAAGGGGGCAAGCGUUGUUCGGAAUACUGGGCGUAAAGGGCGCGUAGGCGGUCAGCACAAGUCAGUUGUGAAAUCUCCGGGCUUAACCUGGGAACUGCAUUUGUGACUGCACGGCUAGAGUGUGUCAGAGGGGGGUAGAAUUCCACGUGUAGCAGUGAAAUGCGUAGAUAUGUGGAGGAAUACCGAUGGCGAAGGCAGCCCCCUGGGAUGACACUGACGCUCAUGCACGAAAGCGUGGGGAGCAAACAGG